AUUAUAAUCGGCUUCUCGUCGCACAAGAGAGUAUCGAUCAACCCUUGCUGGAUGAGCACGUCUUUCAUCCUUACCUAACACAAGGAGAAAUUGCUCUUUUCAUAAAACCUGUUGAUCUCCAUCUUGAUGGUGCUUGUCUUCUCCAUCUUUUAUCUCAAUCACCACUACUGCAACCUAUGCUCUUGCAACCACCUUGCUCUGAUACCAAUUAUUGCGCCA
rnacentral:lncRNA from 1 species